rnacentral:rRNA from 1 species
UACGUAGGGUGCAAGCGUUGUCCGGAAUUAUUGGGCGUAAAGAGCUUGUAGGCGGUUUGUCGCGUCUGCUGUGAAAUUUCGGGGCUCAACCCCGAACUUGCAGUGGGUACGGGCAGGCUAGAGUGUGGUAGGGGAGACUGGAAUUCCUGGUGUAGCGGUGGAAUGCGCAGAUAUCAGGAGGAACACCGGUGGCGAAGGCGGGUCUCUGGGCAGUAACUGACGCUGAGGAGCGAAAGCGUGGGGAGCGAACAGG